rnacentral:rRNA from 1 species
UACGUGGAGGAGCAAGCGUUUGUCCGGAAUCACUGGGCGUAAAGCGCACGUAGGCGGAUUGUUAAGUCGGGGGUGAAAUCCUGAGGCUCAACCUCAGAACUGCCUUCGAUACUGGCAAUCUCGAGUCCGGAAGAGGUUGGUGGAACAGCUAGUGUAGAGGUGAAAUUCGUAGAUAUUAGCUAGAACACCAGUGGCGAAGGCGGCCAACUGGUCCGGUACUGACGCUGAGGUGCGAAAGCGUGGGGAGCAAACAGG